rnacentral:piRNA from 1 species
GAGGAAAGGAACUACGAGUUUCAUU